rnacentral:rRNA from 1 species
GGGCUCACACAAGCGGUGGAGGAUGUGGCUUAAUUCGAGGCUACGCGAAGAACCUUAUCCUAGAUUUGACAUGCUUGAGAGUCUCUAUGAAAGUAGAGAGUGCCCUUCGGGGAGCUCUUGCACAGGUGCUGCAUGGCUGUCGUCAGCUCGUGUCGCGAGAUGUCGGGUUAAGUCCCUUAACGAGCGAAACCCUUAUCUCUAGUUGCCAGCGGGUAAUGCCGGGGACUCUAGAGAGACUGCCGGUGUCAAACCGGAGGAAGGUGGGGAUGACGUCAAGUCCUCAUGGCCUUUAUGUCUAGGGCUGCACACGUCCUACAAUGGUACGGACAAACGGACGCAAUACCGCGAGGUGGAGCAAAUCCUAGAAACCGUACCUCAGUUCGGAUUGCAGGCUGCAACUCGCCUGCAUGAAGCCGGAAUCGCUAG